rnacentral:sRNA from 1 species
CACAAGCAAUUCAGCUGGCUAUCAUAAGGCAGAGAACGAGCUAUUAGGUUCUUUUCAAAGACUAUUCUAUGUUCUUUGUUACAACCGCUGUUACCAGAUUCUAAAUUAGUAAACGUAACAGAAAACUGCCAUGAACCUUGAAUUCAUUUUUCUUGGCAGCAUUGUGCUUGCAACCAUUUUUGUCUUCCUGAAGAUUUUACUAGAGGAUACUUUGCCAUAAAGAUCACAGACAUUGCUGGAGAAUACCGCUGAAGUUCUCUAGAUAACACUAUAUGAAUGGACACCAAAGUUAACAUUUCAUAUAGCUGUAAGGACAACACCUUCUAUGUAAAACAAGAACGAUGCUGUGACUCUUCUGGUGAACAAUUUCAAUCAUAUUAUGGUGACUACCUCCCAUAUUCAAUACCCAUGUUCAGGCAAAUUGUAGUUCAUUUGGACAUCAUAGAAUGACUACUGGCUCGAAUAAAGAAAAAUAAA